UACGAAGGGGGCUAGCGUUGCUCGGAAUUACUGGGCGUAAAGGGUGCGUAGGCGGGUCUUUAAGUCAGAGGUGAAAUCCUGGAGCUCAACUCCAGAACUGCCUUUGAUACUGAGGAUCUUGAGUACGGGAGAGGUGAGUGGAACUGCGAGUGUAGAGGUGAAAUUCGUAGAUAUUCGCAAGAACACCAGUGGCGAAGGCGGCUCACUGGCCCGGUACUGACGCUGAGGUGCGAAAGCGUGGGGAGCAAACAGG
rnacentral:rRNA from 1 species